UACGAAAGGUGCAAGCGUUACUCGGAAUCACUGGGCGUAAAGCGCACGUAGGCGGACUAGUAGGUCAAUUGUGAAAUACCUGGGCUCAAACCAGGAACUGCAGUUGAAACCGCUUGUCUUGAAUACCUGAGAGGGUGGGGGAAUACCUGGUGGAGAAGUGAAAUUCGUAGAUAUUAGGAGGAAUACCUGUGGCGAAGGCGGCCUUCUGGACCGUUUUUGACGCUGAGACGCGAAAGCGUGGGUAGCAAACAGG
rnacentral:rRNA from 1 species